rnacentral:rRNA from 1 species
GGACGAAAGUCUGACGGAGCAACGCCGCGUGAGUGAUGAAGGUUUUCGGAUCGUAAAGCUCUGUUGUUAGGGAAGAACAAGUGCAAGAGUAACUGCUUGCACCUUGACGGUACCUAACCAGAAAGCCACGGCUAACUACGUGCCAGCAGCCGCGGUAAUACGUAGGUGGCAAGCGUUGUCCGGAAUUAUUGGGCGUAAAGGGCUCGCAGGCGGUUUCUUAAGUCUGAUGUGAAAGCCCCCGGCUCAACCGGGGAGGGUCAUUGGAAACUGGGAAACUUGAGUGCAGAAGAGGAGAGUGGAAUUCCACGUGUAGCGGUGAAAUGCGUAGAGAUGUGGAGGAACACCAGUGGCGAAGGCGACUCUCUGGUCUGUAACUGACGCUGAGGAGCGAAAGCGUGGGGAGCGAACAGGAUUAGAUACCCUGGUAGUCCACGCCGUAAACGAUGAGUGCUAAGUGUUAGGGGGUUUCCGCCCCUUAGUGCUGCAGCUAACGCAUUAAGCACUCCGCCUGGGGAGUACGGUCGCAAGACUGAAACUCAAAGGAAUUGACGGGGGCCCGCACAA